rnacentral:rRNA from 1 species
CCUACGGGAGGCAGCAGUGAGGAAUAUUGGUCAAUGGACGAUAGUCUGAACCAGCCAAGUAGCGUGAAGGAUGACUGCCCUAUGGGUUGUAAACUUCUUUUAUAUGGGAAUAAAAUGUUCCACGUGUGCUGUUUUGUAUGUACCUUAUGAAUAAGGAUCGGCUAACUCCGUGCCAGCAGCCGCGGUAAUACGGAGGAUCCGAGCGUUAUCCGGAUUUAUUGGGUUUAAAGGGAGCGUAGGUGGAUUGUUAAGUCAGUUGUGAAAGUUUGCGGCUCAACCGUAAAAUUGCAGUUGAAACUGGCAGUCGUGAGUACAGUAGAGGUGGGCGGAAUUCGUGGUGUAGCGGUGAAAUGCUUAGAUAUCACGAAGAACUCCGAUUGCGAAGGCAGCUCACUGGACUGUAACUGACACUGAGGCUCGAAAGUGUGGGUAUCAAACAGGAUUAGAUACCCGUGUAGUC